rnacentral:rRNA from 1 species
CCUACGGGUGGCAGCAGUGAGGAAUAUUGGUCAAUGGGCGCGAGCCUGAACCAGCCAAGUCGCGUGAAGGAUGACUGCCCUACGGGUUGUAAACUUCUUUUAUAUAGGAAUAAAGUGAUGUACGUGUGCCUUUUUGACUGUACUUUACGAAUAAGCAUCGGCUAACUCCGUGCCAGCAGCCGCGGUAAUACGGAGGAUCCGAGCGUUAUCCGGAUUUAUUGGGUUUAAAGGGAGCGUAGAUGGGUUUUUAAGUCAGUUGUGAAAGUUUGCGGCUCAACCGUAAAAUUGCAAUUGAUACUGGCAGUAAUGAGUACAGUUGAGGUAGGGGGAAUUCGGGGUGUAGCGGUGAAAUGCUUAG